AGGUAUAUUGAUGUAAAUUAAUUAAUAUUUUAGGUAUUUAUUAUAAUUAUUAAACAAGUAAAUUAUGAUUUAAACGAUUUAUCUGGACGACUCAAUUGUUAUUUAUUUUGGAAAACAGCUCAGAUAUUUUAUUUCCCUUUUUAUUUAGACAAAAUUAAACACCGAACGUGACACGAAAAGAAGUCGUAUGCCGGGACAGACACGGAGAAAAACACAAACCACGUAUAUAAAAAAAAAAAAACAACAUAAUUUGUUAGUAUAAAAUUAUAUAGAUAGUUAAAUGUAAGUAGGUAUGCAAUAUAAACUCGCAAAUUUUAAUAUUAUAUAAUUAUUAUAUCUCUUACAAAAAACAUUAUAUUUACAAUAUCGCGUAAAAUGGUAAAGGGUUUUCAUUAUUAUUAUGUGGGAAAAUCGCAGUUUCUUUUCGAAUGUGGUUAAAAACGCUCUCGGGUGUAAAACCAUGUCAUAACCGAGCGGUAAUCGUGAUCUGCGGUUAGUAAUAUAAUAUACCAUAAUAUAUACAUUCGUUUUCAUAUAACUAUGCGGUCGAGAGAUUAAUUCCCCCGUCCACUGUGUCUUUUUAAAUUUUUUUUUUAAAAAAAAAAAAAUGCUACCUAUAAGUUAUAAUAGACCGUGGAUUUAUACGUAUAACGUAGGUACUGCGUAUUUUCCUUCUUUCCUCAUUUCCGGAUUUUCGUUAAUCAUCCUUACGAAUCGCAUACUAAUAGCAUUAAAGUAUAGUUUGCAUUUAUUACACGCUUGACCGUGAUUAUAUAUUUUCGCAUAUACUAGUUUCACAUUUCCAUCAUUUUUACCAGACUUCCGAAAGAGGGUUAUGCGUGUGUGCAUGUAUGUGAUAUAUUUACUUCUUAUUCCGUAAACAGCCCAAACGACUGAACAGAUAUUAAUAAAUAAGGUGUCGUUGGAUUCGCUUUAAUCUCGAGAGUGUUAUAGACUAGGUGACGUCUUAAAAAAAAUAAAAGGGAGGGGUAAAAAAUAAUCAAAAAUGAAUAUUAUAUGCCUGUGCCUAUUAAUAGUAUUUUUAAUUUACCAAUGCAUCGUUCCUACGGGCGUCUAACAGUAUUAUUUUAGCAACGGAUAAUAACGGAUCAGAGAGAAACUGUGAUAAAACGAAAAAUAAAUUUUCAACAUU